GAUUAUGGCUCAGGAUGAACGCUAGCGACAGGCUUAACACAUGCAAGUCGAGGGGCAGCACGGGAGUAGCAAUACAACUGGUGGCGACCGGCGCACGGGUGAGUAACGCGUAUGCAACCUACCUAUCAGAGGGGAAUAACCCGGCGAAAGUCGGACUAAUACCGCAUAAAACAGGGGCACCGCAUGGUGAUAUUUGUUAAAGAAAUUCGCUGAUAGAUGGGCAUGCGUUCCAUUAGGUAGUUGGUGAGGUAACAGCUCACCAAGCCGACGAUGGAUAGGGGAACUGAGAGGUUGGUCCCCCACACUGGUACUGAGACACGGACCAGACUCCUACGGGAGGCAGCAGUGAGGAAUAUUGGUCAAUGGGCGAGAGCCUGAACCAGCCAAGUCGCGUUGAAGGAAGAAGGAUCUAUGGUUCGUAAACUUCUUUUGCAGGGGAAUAAAGUGCGGGACGUGUCCUGUUUUGUAUGUACCCUGAGAAUAAGGAUCGGCUAACUCCGUGCCAGCCGCAGC
rnacentral:rRNA from 1 species